CAGCCGCCGCGGUAAUACGAAGGGUGCAAGCGUUAAUCGGAAUUACUGGGCGUAAAGCGUGCGUAGGCGGUUUGUUAAGUCUGCUGUGAAAUCCCCGGGCUCAACCUGGGAAUGGCAGUGGAUACUGGCAAGCUAGAGUGUGUCAGAGGAUGGUGGAAUUCCCGGUGUAGCGGUGAAAUGCGUAGAGAUCGGGAGGAACAUCAGUGGCGAAGGCGGCCAUCUGGGACAACGCUGACGCUGAGGCACGAAAGCGUGGGGAGCAAACAGGAUUAGAUACCCCCGUAGUCCCUGUCUCUUAUAC
rnacentral:rRNA from 1 species